GAUUGUAUCUCAAGAAACCACUUUCUCUUCUCUGUGGGCCUCUCAUAGUGUACCAUGCCAGAGUAAAUGGCAGCCUCAAACCAUUGCCCAGCCCCUUACCUGUGGGCUGUAAGCACUGAAGGGGGUUGCACAGUA
rnacentral:snoRNA from 1 species